rnacentral:rRNA from 1 species
UACGUAGGGGGCAAGCGUUGUCCGGAAUUAUUGGGCGUAAAGAGCGUGUAGGCGGUCCGGUAAGUCAGCUGUGAAAGUCAAGGGCUCGACCCUUGAAUGCCGGUUGAUACUGUCGGGCUAGAGUCCGGAAGAGGCGAGUGGAAUUCCCGGUGUAGCGGUGAAAUGCGCAGAUAUCAGGAAGAACACCCGUGGCGAAGGCGGCUCUCUGGGACGGUACUGACGCUGAGACGCGAAAGCGUGGAGAGCGAACAGG